rnacentral:rRNA from 1 species
GACGAACGCUGGCGGCGUGCUUAACACAUGCAAGUCGAACGGAAAGGCCCUGCUUUUGUGGGGUGCUCGAGUGGCGAACGGGUGAGUGACACGUGAGUAACCUGCCCUUGACUUUGGGAUAACUUCAGGAAACUGGGGCUAAUACCGGAUAGGAGCUCCUGCUGCAUGGUGGGGGUUGGAAAGUUUCGGCGGUUGGGGAUGGACUCGCGGCUUAUCAGCUUGUUGGUGGGGUAGUGGCUUACCAAGGCUUUGACGGGUAGCCGGCCUGAGAGGGUGACCGGCCACAUUGGGACUGAGAUACGGCCCAGACGCCUACGGGAGGCAGCAGUGGGGAAUAUUGCACAAUGGGCGGAAGCCUGAUGCAGCAACGCCGCGUGCGGGAUGACGGCCUUCGGGUUGUAAACCGCUUUCGCCUGUGACGAAGCGUGAGUGACGGUAAUGGGUAAAGAAGCACCGGCUAACUACGUG